rnacentral:tRNA from 1 species
GGGGGUGUAGCUUAUAUGGUAAAUCGCUCGCUUCGCAUGCGAGAGGCACGGGGUUCAAUUCCCCGUCCUCCA